UUGAACGCUGGCGGCAUGCCUUACACAUGCCAGUCGAACGGUAACGGGCCUUCGGGUGCCGACGAGUGGCGAACGGGUGAGUAAUACAUCGGAACGUGCCCGAUCGUGGGGGAUAACGAGGCGAAAGCUUUGCUAAUACCGCAUACGAUCUACGGAUGAAAGCAGGGGACCGCAAGGCCUUGCGCGGACGGAGCGGCCGAUGGCAGAUUAGGUAGUUGGUGGGAUAAAAGCUUACCAAGCCGACGAUCUGUAGCUGGUCUGAGAGGAUGAUCAGCCACACUGGGACUGAGACACAGCCCAGACUCCUACGGGAGGCAGCAGUGGGGAAUUUUGGACAAUGGGCGCAAGCCUGAUCCAGCCAUGCCGCGUGCAGGAUGAAGACCUUCGGGUUGUAAACUGCUUUUGUACGGAACGAAAAGCCUUCUUUUAAUACAGGAGGGUCAUGACGGUACCGUAAGAAUAAGCACCGGCUAACUACGUG
rnacentral:rRNA from 1 species